AGUAAGCUGCUCUUGGUCAACAUGCCUGCUUCACUGUUUUCAUCCUUUCAAGUGCAACUACCCGUGUUGUUGAUUCUGGUACUGCUCAAUACAGUGCUUCUCAUAUAGGAACCGCCAUAUCGUCUCUGUCUUCUUCUCAGUGAUUCCUCUGUGUUUGUCUGUGAUACUUUCAUCUGGAGGUCUCAUGGUCGACAUGGCUGUUUCAUCACAGGACAAUUUGGUCAUUCUUGUUUUCCUUUGGUUCAAACUGUGUUCUGGUUUCUGCUUACAGAUAAGGAGUCAUGUACAAUUUUCACAGUUUCCAUGGAUUUUACUCCCCUGUGCUUCGUCUCCUUGUCGCAAGCCAAUCUAUUAUCCUGAAGGCCAGCUAAUUUCAAAAGGUCUUCCUUCGGUUAUCAACGUUACGCUUAACCAUACAGAGAAGCUUUGGUCCU